rnacentral:siRNA from 1 species
UAUGGUUUUAACCCGUUCGGUGA